AUGUUCCUUCACGUGUGUGUGUCCUGGCAAAACACCAUCCAAACAACUGUCCAAAGAACACUUAACGCUCCGCUUCAGAGUUUCAUACCAUUCUUAAGUUCCAAGACAGAAUGAAGUCACUGGAGGGGCCUUUCUAUCUGGGGUACCUGGCAACAGCCUUCCACCCAAUGGACACCUUACAACGUGGUACCCAGAGGAACCUGGUGUGACACGUGGUGGUGUGACAGGUGGAGCCAGACAAGCGCCUGUGAACCGUUGGCUGAGUGGACUCUUCUGCUGGAUGAUGAAGGAACUUCCUGGCUCCAGCUGUCUAAUUGAGGGCAAGUUAACCUCUGAGGGAAAUAGAUCCUGGCCAACAGUGUGAUCUCGUAGUCCCUAGGAUGACUGUCAUUUCCCUUUCUUGUCCCCUGGAGGACAGCCAAAAGCCCUGAGACCUGUGUCCGCAUGUUGAAGAUCUCAGAUUCAGAUUUCAGCAGAGAGCUACCCACAUGCCAUCCACCACCGGAGAUGCUCUGUACAAAUCUGCCCAAAAUAAAUAUGGCGCUCGUGACACAA
rnacentral:sRNA from 1 species